GCUGUCAUUUUAUCGAGCCGGAAAGGCAGUCCGAGUCCGAACUCACAUCGAGAAAAACAAAGACUAGCUAGCAGGGACUUUAUCUGUCCGAGAAAUAAGCAGGAGAGUCCAGUGAAACAGAAACACAUGUAUGACAUGCCAUCCACGAGUACUGCUGCAAGGACCAAGCAACCGGAUGACAAACAUGUUAGCUUCUGAAAUUCCGGCAGUUAUUAUGCAUGUCGGAAGCAGCAGAGUCCAGUGAAACAGAAACGCAUCAUAAAUGACAUGCCGUCUACGAGUGCUGCUGCAAGGAUCAAGAAAUUAACAAUGGCAAAGGCAGUCAAGGAGGAAAUAGUUGAUUGGAGUACUGUAUACAUCGAUCCUGUAGCUGUAGAUUUCAUCCUGAAUGACAUGAAAAACACGAAUUCGGCGAUCGCAGAACCGGAAUCAGAAGAGUCCUGUGAAACAUAACCAUGCACAACAUGCCAUACACGAGUGCUGCUGCAGGGACCAAAUCAUCGGCGAUACAGACAUCCAUGAAGGAGGAAACAACGGAAUAUAGUACUGUGCAGUUCAAUCCAGAAGCUAACAAGUUUCCCUUGCAAUCGGAUUUCAUCCUGGAUCACACUCAGCCCACGCGUGCUGGUGCAAGGAUUAAACCUCGGCGAUUGAUUGGCCGGUAAAGAAGGACAUCGGCGAUGUCAAGAAGAAAAUAAUGGAUGAGAGUACUAUACACAUCGAUCCUGUAGCUUACAUAUUGGUCAUGUAACCGAAUUUCAUCCUGGAUGACAUGCCAUCCACGAGUGCUGCUGCAGGGAUAAAAACAUCGGCGAUGGCAGAGCCGAUAAAGGAGGGAACCACAGAUAAAGUAAUAUACUUUCUUUUAAAAUGUAAAAAACAAAAGAUCCCUGUGAAAGAGAAACACAUCCUGGAUGACUGCAAUCCUCGGCUGCUGCUGCAAUGAUCAAAACAUCGGCUUGCCAUCGCCGGUCAAAAAGCAAAUAUUAACUGAUGAAAGUAAUGUAUAUAUCGAUCCUGUAGCUAACAUGUUUUUCAUACAACGAGAUGACGAACAUGUUAGCUUCAGGAUCGAUGUGUAUGGCACUCUCCUCCGUUGUUUCUUCCUUGACCGCCUCUGCCAUCGUUGAUGCUUUGCUCCUUGCGGCAACACUCGAAGAUGGCAUGUCAUCAGGAUGUGGUCCUGUUUUUCAGGGGUCUCCUGUUUUAUACAUUAUAAGUGAGAGUAUAUUACUAGACAAACGGACAAUCUGUGCAAAAGUAAAGAGUACUGUCUGGAGAAUUUCAUAACAUUAAGAGAUAAUGUCGGUGAUUGGGUCUCUUCUGGCUGUCAUGUGGGUGCGAGAGGGAAAGCUCUAAAAACACAAGGCUUUUUGCUCUCUGUUGCCGCUUAUCAACGCUGUUAACAAAUAACAACAAACAUUCGUUAAGA